rnacentral:sRNA from 1 species
GCUAGGUGCAGUGGUGUGCACCUGUAGUCCCAGCUGCUUGGGAGGCUGAGUUAGGAAGAUCACUUGAGCCCAGGAGUUUGAGACCAGCCUGGGCAACAUACUGAGAUCCCAUCUCAA